rnacentral:rRNA from 1 species
GAUGAACGCUGGCGGCGUGCCUAAUACAUGCAAGUCGAGCGAACAGACGAGGAGCUUGCUCCUCUGACGUUAGCGGCGGACGGGUGAGUAACACGUGGAUAACCUACCUAUAAGACUGGGAUAACUUCGGGAAACCGGAGCUAAUACCGGAUAAUAUAUUGAACCGCAUGGUUCAAUAGUGAAAGACGGUUUUGCUGUCACUUAUAGAUGGAUCCGCGCCGCAUUAGCUAGUUGGUAAGGUAACGGCUUACCAAGGCAACGAUGCGUAGCCGACCUGAGAGGGUGAUCGGCCACACGGGAACUGAGACACGGUCCAGACUCCUACGGGAGGCAGCAGUAGGGAAUCUGCCGCAAUGGGCGAAAGCUUGACGGAGCAACGCCGCGUGAGUGAUGAAGGUCUUCGGAUCGUAAAACUCUGUUAUUAGGGAAGAACAAAUGUGUAAGUAACUAUGCACGUCUUGACGGUACCUAAUCAGAAAGCCACGGCUAACUACGUG